CUUCCUAAAAGCAAUCAAAUACAGCACAUCUUAAGAAAUUUAACUCACAUACACAUGAGCAGGAAACAGGAAACGUACUUGUUCCUGUAAAACAGGGAGAAACUAAAAUUGAGAAUCAUGCCUAAUCACAAAAAAUGUAUCAUACAGAAACAAAACUUCAUGCUGUUUUUUGUCCUGUUUCUCACGGCAGGAUCUCCCAGAUAUGGCACUGCAAAUGAAGAAGCUUCAGGAGAUGGUUCACCAGCAUUGAAUAUCAAAGUAACACCUAGACCAGAGACAUCUGCAGAAUAUUUUACAACUGCAGGUGACCAUGAUCUGAAACCUGCCAUCAAACCAACAGAGAUUGAGAUAAAUGUUGAAACAGGAAAUAAUGCAAGUACUGGGUUAAAUGAUAUGAAUAAUGACAACACCCCAGAAAUGGCAGAUGUACAGCCUGCCUUAAUGUUUGGCAUUCCUGUGGUGAUACUAGUCCUACUAAUUCUGCUGAUCAUUUUCUUUGUGAUACGUCAUACAAGGAAAAAGUCUAAGCAAGAUGAACUGGGAAGUGAAAAUGUCAAAAGUCCUAUUUUUGAAGAAGACACACCCUCUGUUAUGGAAAUAGAAAUGGAAGAGCUCGAUAAAUGGAUGAAUAGCAUGAACAAAAAUGGUACUGGUAACCCUCCAAUCAUUUCUCUCUCUGUGUCUGAGGUAGCCCCAUGAAUAGAAAAAAUACCACAGAGCUAUUUUAUAUUUGUGUUGCUACUUUUCCUAAAACAUUUUUAGUCCUGAUCUUAAGCCUACAAUACUAGAAUAGUUGCACAAGCAAAUAUCAGGAGUAUUUUAGGCUGGGUGGAUGCUUAUUUUUAUCAAAUGAUGGGAUACUAUAGAUAUAGUACCAUAAAGGUUUCAGUUUUCAGUAGAAGCUUUUAUUAAACACGUAUACUGUAUUUAUAUUUUUAAAUAAAAAUUGCUUUUUAGGGGUACAUAAUUGUCUCUUUAAAAGAUCUGGCUCUCUCAGUAUUCAGUGUGACUGCACUAGUGUGCUGCAUAUUGUGCCAUUCUAAGAGAAAUCACUGUUUACUCAUAGCCCAUAGCACUAUUUACUUAUUACACUGCUGCCAGGAUCAUCUUCCUGGCUCAUCACUAUGACUACAUCACCUCCCUUUGCAUCCCUUCCACUGGCUCCUUAUCCUCUACUGCAUCAAACACAAGCUCCUUCUUUUUGCCUUUUAUGCCCUUCACCAUUUAGAUUCACCUUAUCUGUCAGAAAUACUGCUUAUCAAGCUGUGAGCCUCCACCAUUAAUUUCUCAGUGAUCCACUUCUCCCUGAAGCACCUCUGUGCUUUCUCCCAGGCUGUCCCUGGUGCAUGAGAAGAGCUCCCAGUCAAAAUUCUCAAACGCCGCCUUCAAGUCAGUUCUCAAAACUCAUCUCUUCCUUAAUGCACAGAGUUAACUGCAACCUGAUUUCAGCUACACAGAUGGCACAUUGUGAUUACUGCUCCAGACUGGCUAAGAAUUGCACAUAUUCUAAUAUUUUUGUUGCCCAUCCCUUGACCCAGGCCCCAAAAUGCUUGUUUGCUUCAUCCUCUUAUUAUAUCUUGUCUUUCAGAUGGUAAGCUCUUUUGGUAGACACCUAUCAUUUCCUGUAGCUGAUGGUGAAUGUUUACCUACUGUAAAAGAAGAAGAAAAGGAAUCAAAUGUCUUCACAAG